rnacentral:rRNA from 1 species
GACGAACGCUGGCGGCGUGGAUUAGGCAUGCAAGUCGAACGGUAUCAUCCUUUCGGGGGUGAGAGAGUGGCGAACUGGUGAGUAACACGUAGGUUAUCUACCCUCAAGACGGGGACAACCCAGGGAAACUUGGGCUAAUACCGGAUGUGAGCAACUUUUAGUUGUUUGAAAGGUGGCGUAAGCUGUCGCUUGGGGAUGAGCCUGCGUCCUAUUAGUUAGUUGGUGAGGUAACGGCUCACCUAGGCAAUGAUAGGUAGGCGGCCUUAACGGGUGGUCGCCCACACUGGGAUUGAGAUACGGCCCAGACUCCUACGGGAGGCAGCAGUCGAGAAUAGUCUACAAUGGUCGGAAGACUGAUAGUGCGACGCCGCGUGAACGAUGAAUCCCUUCGGGGUGUAAAGUUCUUUUAUAUGUGAGCAGUGCUUCUUAUAUUAACAGUAUGGGGAGAGAGAUAUUAGCAUAUGAAUAAGCAACGGCUAACCUCGUCGACCAGAC